CGGUGUAGUAGAAUUUCUGACCUUUGACCUAUAGUUCAUGUCUGUCAAAAAUGUAUGCUCAUUUUGAUUUCUCUUCCUCUUCUGUGGGACAAAAGUGAACUUUAAGUCAUGCCAACCUGUCUAGUGAAUGUGUUGACUGUCUAAAAGAUUCGAGUUGCUAUGGAACAGAUAGGGAAAACAAAAUAAGACAUUGACGCACUAACAAGAGAGAUAAGAAAGGGAUAAAGCCAAACGAAGAGAGUGUUUUGGGCACCAUCUUCUUUUUCAUGGUGACGGGCGCGCCCGGGGGGGAAACUUUCUGUGUGCUAGACAACUCAACCCAACCAUUGUACCAUUUGAUUAUGAGUAAAAUAAAACUCUUGUGUUAAAUCUACUUUGGUUCUCAUUGACAACCUGGACUUUCCACUACAAAAUUGGCGUCACGAACAGGAUGGUCCAGAACUCUGCAAAUCAACAUCCGCUCCCGGCUUCUCUCUCAGGCAGACAACGCUUGCACGCGCGCAUCUAAUAAAAGAAGGAACUUCCUGAUGUUGCCUGACAGCACGACAUCAGCUGACAACUACUAGGGACGCCUCCCAGGAACGAGUGGAGGACGGGGACUGCUCCUACUGUCCUAGCACUGGCUGACGGAGUCACAAGAUCAGCACUUCUCAGGACCAGCAGCUUCCUAGGAAGGUGGAAAGACCAUGAGACCAAAAUGGUAAGUUUGCAAAAUGUAGAAUUUGUGUGCCAGUUCCUCUGUGCAGAUUUGAGGAUGAAAGCAGCCACUCCAGAUUCCCUUGCACUCGCUAAGAGGGGCACGGUCAAAGCCAAUCCAGGACCAACACCCGAUACCUGACUGGAAGGAACCGAGAGGAGAGACAACACCUUGCCAGCGAUGACGAGAACAACUAACGUUGCCAGCCAAUGUGUCCACCGGGACUCCAGCAGCUGUGGAAAGAAGUGUCGGGAGUGCCGAAGCAGCGAGGAGGCGUUGAAGCAAGCCGAGGGCCUGGACCAAAGCCCCAACGCCCCAUACUUUGCCCCGCCUUCCCCAAAGCCCCAUACUUUUCCCCAAUUUCGGCCAGCACGGACAUGCCAUUAAACAGUCUGCCCAAUGGACUGAACCACACCCCAAGAACAGACAGAGACAGACUGUUUGAGUGGAUCUCUUUCUUCACCAAGGCAGCCAAAAGCCCAACGAGGUGUCGGCAGGCCACCAGCCUGAGGCACCACCGAGCCAUCCAUACGAGCACUAAUCGAACAUGGACUCAUACGAAAUUCAGUUGUGUGUACAAAAUCAAUUGGUAACUACAUUCAUUGCAAAUGCCGGGAAAAAUAAUAAUGCAACAGCUUACAGUCAUAAGUCUAUAUUAAUUCUAAACCAGAUCUUGUUUGAUUCAUUAUUAAUGUGAAAAUACAUCUUGAAUAAGCAUAUAUAUAUUCAUCUAAUUAUGUUCAUGAUCAAAGUAUUUUGGUAUUACGUUACUAACUCAAAGGGUAGGCCACUAAUUGUGUUCUGUGAGAUGGUUUUACUGCAGGCUGGUAACAGCGAUCGCUCUGAAGGAGGGUCAUAGACGGAAUUUUUGCCUCGUAUAAAAACAUUGAGGUUUUUGCCUCUAUCUGCGGUAGAGAUUUAAUUUAGUGGUCUAUAUCAGAAAUUGUUUUGGUCCAGGGUCUUAAGACCCUGGAAGGCGGGUAUGUAGUAGAAUUUCUGACCUUUGACCUAUAGUUCAUGUCUGUCAAAAAUGUAUGCUCAUUUUGAUUUCUCUUCCUCUUCUGUGGGACAAAAGUGAACUUUAAGUCAUGCCAACCUGUCUAGUGAAUGUGUUGACUGUCUAAAAGAUUCGAGUUGCUAUGGAACAGAUAGGGAAAACAAAAUAAGACAUUGACGCACUAACAAGAGAGAUAAGAAAGGGAUAAAGCCAAACGAAGAGAGUGUUUUGGGCACCAUCUUCUUUUUCAUGGUGACGGGCGCGCCCGGGGGGGAAACUUUCUGUGUGCUAGACAACUCAACCCAACCAUUGUACCAUUUGAUUAUGAGUAAAAUAAAACUC